rnacentral:tRNA from 1 species
GGGGACGUAGCUCAAUUGGGAGAGCGCCUGGUUUGCAACCAGGAGGUUGAGGGUUCGCUCCCCUUCGUCUCCA